AUCUAUAUAGUUUAAUAAAAACAUUAAUUUUGUAAAUUAAAAAUAAUAUAAUUUUUAUAGAUA
rnacentral:tRNA from 1 species